UCACAUUGCUGCGGGGUGGAGGCGAUUUUAACUAACCCUAAUGCAGAGUAAGUGGCUGGGCCUUCCUCACACUGCCUCCCGCUGCGCGAAACCUCGCUGUUUUCUUGGCUAACUUUCAGCGAGGUGAGGAGAGGCGGCAAAAAAAAAAGGUUGGGAGCAGCAGCGGCAAACAAAAAAAAAAGUUCCAGCCGAGGCCUCCUCACCCCCGCGGCCUGGGUCUGAGGGUAACACGGCCCUGCGGGAGAGAGGCAACACGGGGGCCCCCGGUCCGGCGAACAGGGCAGGAGGUCGGUCCCAAUCGCCUCACAGGCCCAGCCACUCCGGGCCGCGGUCAGCCCGGGGCUUUCCCCCCCACCAUGGGGGCCCAAUGCUGCCGCGAAGAGUUCGGCUCUGUCAGCCCGGCUGGGCCAGGGUGGGGGCCGGCACAGAGGGACACACCGGGCCGGGGCGCCGGGGAUAGCUACCGCCCGCAGGGAUAGCAAAUAUCCGUGACCAGUGGUCUCGGUGGCUGCGUCUCCCGGAGCAAUGGGACCCGCAAGGCUGCCCUGGUCAUACACAU
rnacentral:telomerase_RNA from 2 species